GACGAACGCUGGCGGCGUGCUUAACACAUGCCAGUCGAACGAUGAAGAAGAGAAACGCGAACUUCGGUUCAAAUUUCACUUCGGAUUAGUGGCAGACGGGUGAGUAACGCGUGAGCAACCUACCUCUUACAAAGGGAUAGCCUCGGGAAACCGUGAUUAAUACCAUAUGACACAUUCAUAAGGCAUCUUAAGAAUGUUAAAGCUACGGCGGUAAGAGAUGGGCUCGCGUCCCAUUAGCUAGUUGGUGAGGUAACGGCCCACCAAGGCGACGAUGGGUAACCGGCCUGAGAGGGUGAACGGUCACAUUGGAACUGAGACACGGUCCAAACUCCUACGGGAGGCAGCAGUGGGGAAUAUUGCACAAUGGAGGGAACUCUGAUGCAGCGACGCCGCGUGAGUGAUGAAGGAAUUCGUUUCGUAAAGCUCUGUUCUAUGGGAAGAAAAGGACUGUACCAUAGGAGAAAGCCCCGGCUAAAUACGUG
rnacentral:rRNA from 1 species